UGUCUUCCCAUCCAGGCCUUAAUUUUACUAGGAUCUUUCCAAAAGCAGGAAAACUAAUUGCUUGUGAUCACUUUGAUAAAAUAGAUUGAAAAUACAAAUGCACGUAGGUAAAGAAAAACAUAAAAAUCACUCUGUUGCACAAUAUUUAAAAAUAGUAUGGUGAUUAUACAUUGGUAUAAGCCAAACCAUGAAAAUGCAAAUACUAGAGUUAAGAAUGAAGAUGUGAAAUACUUACUUGAUUGAAGACGGUUAAGAAGAAAAAGUAAAAAGUUGAUUGCAGCGCAUCAGGAUCUACAAGCAGAUACCAUAGAGAUGUUUAGUUUAACAGUAGGAACAAAUGAAGGAAGAGCAACAUCCAGUGACAUUAAGCAACAGCCAAGUGAAUUCAGAUGAGAGAUGACAAAAGCAUUUUGAACACUGAGGAAAAGCUACCUUGUACUGCAGUGGGCUUUCCAUAAUUUGAUAUAGUAAAAUCAGUCUUGAGUUCUAACCACUCUGCUUUGGUUCCAUUGAAGUGGACUUAUACAAUCAGUAACUUCAAGAGGUACUUUGUAGCUUGCAGAAGGUAAAAAUAAAUUAUCAUAAAUGUCUCUGCUGGCCAGAGUACUAAACUGUUGGUCAUGUGAGAUACCUGCACAUUCCCAUUGGAAAUUUCAGGGGGAAAAAAAAAAAAAGAUAAACUCAGGUGCAAAGUAAUCUGACCAGUAGAUUUUAAUUUGAGGAAAAAAAGUAGGUUCACAGUAAAUGAUUAGAUUUAUGGUGUUCUGUUCCUUACAGUGGGUGAAAAUUAAAGAUUCAUGGAUACCUGUUCUUUUAUUUAUAUACCAUAAAUCUUAUAUUUGGAAGAUCCCUCACAACUGUCUGGCAUGUCAUGAGAAAUGUUGGGCUCCUGGAUUCUUCACAUGGAGCAAUAUCUCAAACUGAGCUACUUGAUGCCUAGAAAUCCAAAACAGAUGAACUGAUUUCUUCCACUGAAAGAAGAGUUUUGGGAAAUGCUAAAAGGGAUAAGAGACAGUAAAGUCCCCCUGAUUGUCCAGCAGAUCUUCCUCUUACUCGCCUAAUGUUUAGAUCUCAGUUGAUUUAAAAAUCAUUAUAUUUUUCAUUUAAUUUAAUAGAGAUAAGGAAGAUAGACCACUUGAUAGAAACAACUACAUAAAUGUUAAAUCUGUGUGCAGUCACAAAUUUUAUUAUAAAUCCAAAAUCUUUUGGAAGUGCAGAGAUUCAUUAGUUAUAUAACACUCUGGUUGCCAGAGUUUCCAAAUUUGUUUUCCUUAUCAAAACAAGUUAAAAAACACAGGAUAACAUAGCAAACAGUUUAAUCAGAUGAAUGAAAACUUCAGAUAAUCUAACCUGUUUAAAAGAAAUCUUAUUACAACAAUGUACAAAUUUUCUCUCCUUCAUCUGAGUAUGUGACACAUACUCGUAUCAUAGAAUCACAGAAUGGCUUGGGUUGGAAGAGACCUCAAGGAUCAUCAAGCUCCAACCCCCAUCCCGCAUACAGGGCCACCAACCUCCAUAUCUAACACUAGACUUCUAAUACUGUGUAAUCAAUGCAAUAUAAAGAAAGGCCUCCAAAUACAGAUGGGCAAGGCCAGGCCAGGCAGAAAGAAGAAAAGUAACUAUAACUUCUUGCUUCUGUUUUAAGCCAUGUACCUGUGAUUGCAUGUAAUCCUACACCCUUUCACAUCCUGAACCCUAACCACAAAUGUAUGCUUUUCUUGGAUGUAUAAUUUGAGGAGUUCUGUUUUAUCAUCUGGCUUUUGUGUUUGAAGCAUCUUAGAAUUUAUAAAGAAAAAAAAAAUCAGAAUUGAUUACACUUGAGAAGACACCAUUAUAUACUGCUACUACACCUAAUUCAUAUAUUCCCUGCAGACUGGGAGGCUGUCUCUCCCCUCCCACUUCCUGUGCUAAAGUAGCAGCUAUAUUCUGAUGCCCCUUUAACAUUCACAUUUUUCCUGAAUUUAUCCCUGCAUGCAUUCAUCCAUGCAUUCCCUACUCCCACAUUAACUUUUUACAGUCUGAUGAUGCCUGCUUAGUUCCUGGAUGCAGCAGGAAGUAAAAUAUCUGAAACUGCGUGAAUGAAAAGCAGGAAGUCUGGCCUGCAGUAAUACCAAGAGUCAAACACAAGAGGGCUAAAUGUUCCCCUUCAUACUAGGAUUGGCAGAGGAAGAUAAACCACGAUCUAAAUUAGUAGCUGAUUCCUAGUCAAAAGCUCAAUGGUUAACAUGGCACUCAGUUACAGAUGACCACUGGUGGCUGGUACUGAAAUCAUCAUUGACUUUGUAUUUCAUAACUGAAUUCACACCAGAGUUCAGUACUGCCUUAUAUCUUACAUAGCAGGAGCUACAGAUGCUUAGAAGGACAUGAGAGAGUUUUACAUCUAAUCCACGUCUUUUGCAAAUGGCAAAUGCCUAAUCCCACAUCUCUUACCUACAAAGGAGUUAACAGGUAAGGAGUAAAGGAAUUAUUCAAUAAGGAAAGGAGCAAUAUGAUUGAAAGUAAAAGAAAUCACCUAGGAUCAAACAUAAAGAAUUCAAUAGCAACCCCUCUUGGCAUGAAUUUACUUGUGAUCUGAUGGAACCAACCUGACAAGCUCCCAGAGAUAACAGUUUGUCAAUUUCCCAUUUCAAAGGCAGUGCGAUAAUUGAAAGCUUCCUGAUAUCCACAUGGAAAUCAAACUUUCAGCAAACAACAAACUUUCUGAUAAAGGCCUACGCUAAAUUCCAUUGAAUUCAAUGACAAAUCCCAGCAGCUUUCAACAGAAGCUGAGUGAAGCUCAAGGUGAAAAGCAUCUCUGAGAACAGUUACAGUUAACUAAAUCCCCAGCUAGGUCAGAAAAAUUGUGAGAAUAUACUUCACAUAAGUGGAGCUUGGGUUGGGAAUUCAGGACUGACUUGCAAGGAUCUCUGACACUGAGCUCUUUAAGAGACCCUUAAAGAAGCCCCCAGUGUUCAGCAAGGUCACCAUGUCCCCAGUUUUCAUUGUAUCACCACAUGCUGCUAAGAACUUCGUAGCACCUGACAGUUCCCCUCUUUAUUUCAUCUAAAGCAAUCUACGGGCUGUCAACACAAGCUGCAGCCAGAUUGCUGUACUGGAGUGUAAACACGGAGUUGGUUGAUGAAGCAAUAAAUAAGAUGAGCAGGGAGAAAGGGCAAGAACUUUUUCAAGUGCAAGGAACACAAAGAAAUGUACAAUGUCAAAUGUAAGGCCUAUUCAGCCCAAGACAUGAGAGAAGCAUGGAAUUGAUGUGUAUGCCAUCUCUGUACGUCUCCAAAGCUGAACAUGAUUCUGCAGCUAGAAUGUGACUCAGCUUCAGGUGAAAUACAAGCAAGACGAAGGAACAACUUAUCUACAAUUUCUUUAAAAAACAAACAAACAAACAAACAAAAAACCAAAAAACCUGAAGGGAAGAUCCCAGAAUAAUAAUCAUUCCCUUCUCUCCUUUACAGAUGAAGUUAAGGCCGUCAGAAAUUAAAGAACUUACUGAGGUUAUACAGCACUGUCAGAAUUUGAAUUCAGAGCUUCUGAGCCCAACCUCAGUGCCUCAGCUACACAUUAAUUUUCUUCUUUGUAUUCCCUCACAGUCUUAGGCCAUGUGGCCACUAUUGGUAAAAUGAAAAACAGGUGCAGAUCCUCGAACAGAUGGGAGACCAGCCCUGGCUGAUCUCUGGAGGAUAAUACAGGGUUGCUUUCCGGCAAAGAGGAUUCCAAAGAACUGCAGAGGCAACACCCCUGCCCUAAAAGUGAAGCUGUUCUGCUGCACAAUAAACAUUAUCUCUACCAGCCCAGUAAGUGGGAGUAUUGAGGCAUGCACAGUCUGUUGUCUGUCAGCAAAGAACAGUGCCUUACUGACCUCUUAGAACUGCAGUACUAACACUUUGUUUUUCAGGCAUGCCUGUAAAGACUGGAGAAGACUUAAUUGCAAUUCCAUUCUUUGCAGUAACUGCAGCCAACAUUUUGCAGUUGCUGAAACAUGAAGUUUCUUCCCUGGAGUAGGCAACUUUGGAAUGUCUGACCCUCCAAAAAUGCCAUUAGUCAUACGCAAAAGCUGGAAAAAUCACUAGUAGUAUGAAACAAAUAAUCCAGGUAAGAAUAAUAGUGUAUUUAUUCUAGAUCCUUAAGUACUGAACCUCUUUGGUUCCCUGUUCAUGAGGAACUGAUAGCUUAGUCUGCAAUAUAUUGCUAAAUAAAGAACCUGAAUUGCUGUCUCAGCAGGAGGGCGAUAGAAAAUGACUAACAGGGCAAUUGCAUAGUUCUAAACACAGGAUGGAUAGUGAAGAUGCAAAGUAAUUCCCUGCUUUGUGUGACCUACAGUUGUGAUCUCUGUAUGUUAAAAGAUACAUUUUCCCUCUAUGUGUCACCUGCAGGUAUACAUCUGCCAAAAGGAUUAGAGAAAUCACAGCAAUUCUCAAUUUCCACAGAUCCCCACAGCAUGUACCAAACCCGAGAGGAGAGCUCUUGCAAGAAGACAGGAUAUGCUGUGCAUUAGAUGCUUCUGGUUCCAGCCUUUAUUAUAGGUUUCUCACUCUUAGUGCUGUGUCUGAGAGAGCUGAACAUUUGUGAAAGCAGCCGUUCCCAGAGUUGGAAAGUUCCAAAUCCCCUUUUGGAGCUGAGUGCGUGCGUUAUUGAGUUAGUCAUGACACCACCUUACAGAGAACAGACAAUGAGUUUUGGAUUUUGUGAGUACCUUUCCUCCCUGUAAAGAAGUGCCCUUCCCCCACUCUUUUGGAAACAUCUGUCUGUAUUGGAAACAGAAGAUAUGAUUUAUUUUUAUCGCCAUUCAUGUCAAACAGGCCAACAGCCCCAGUUUUCUGCUUUCAGAUGUAGCAAGAGGCAGGGGAAUCAGAGUGAAGCACCAUUUAUGUCAGUGCCUCCUCCCUCCUCAGUUCUCUUAUCUUAUUUUCAUGGCUACCUACUGUGCUAUCUUAUCACUCAACAGCCUUGCAAAACUCUGCAACUUGACCCCUCCACAGAGAGAGGUGACCUGCUUAGACCUCCCUGCUCUCUGCUGCUGCUCCCUGCUCUCUACUGCUGCUCCCUUUCUUGCAGAGCAAGUUGCUCCCUCCUUUGUUAUUUUACAACUCCUUUCUCAGUGCCUGUCUUACCUUCUCACUCCUCCUUUUUUUCUAGCUCAUAAUGUUUCUUCACUGAGCGUGCACUCAGCUGUGUGGCCUUCUUGGGGUAUGCUUAAUUUCUCACUGUCCAGCCUGCCCUUUGAUGUCUGAUGAAGAGGGAUACAUCUUCUUUUCCAUCUCUUCACAUGUGCCUAUUAAUUACUCUCUUCAGAGAGCCUGUUUACUGACUAUCACUGUGUUUACAAUUGAAUGCAGUUAAACAUUUGUUCUUCACAGUUUCCUCUCUUCUACACCACCCACCCAGUUUCUUCAUUUCUUCCCAACUGUUGCAAAAUGGAUGUCUCCAAAUCACUUUGUAAAGUCACAGAUGCAGUGUACUUACUUUCCCACACUCACCCUGCUUUCAAGCACUACUUUUGCUUCACUCACAGAGAAAUAAAGUCAGUCUUUAUAUUGGAAUUUCUAUCUCCAGCUGUCUAAUAAAAAAGCAGCAGUGAGGCUUAACAAUUUGACCUUCUGGUUGCACACCUUACCUUGUGAACUGGAAAAUGCACAGACAGAUCUGUAAGCUUCAGACUUCUGGCCUAUGAAGAAGUAAUAUGAACUAAGUACAAAAUAGAGAAGUAUGCCCACUGAAAUGAGAAGGGCAUAAACUGUGUAUGUAUCUUCCUGGGAUUAAGGGCCCUUGGGCAGAGGGGAUUUUAAUAGGAUGGGGUGCCUAACAAUUACUGUAGCAAACAUACAGAAAGGAAGAAUAACACGGUUGUAGUACAGCAACUCAGAUCUGAGAUGAAAAUUCCUUCAGAUGUCCUUCUCGUUCCAUAUGGGACUUAAAACAUUACAAAAAAAUGUGAAAUAAAUUUAAAACAAAUGUGGGCUACAUUAACUUUUUCUUUUUCCCAGAUUAUUGUCAAUCCUUUGCCAUUUGUAUUUGGGAAAAGGAAGGAAGCAGAUACCUCAAAGAAUAUAGGAACUGAUUUAUGGCAGGGUGUAUGAAGCUCACCAUGUGUGAGCAUGAGUAGGAAAGAGAGAGAGGACGGCUGACAGUGAGGGACGUACAGCUGCACAGACCAACAGCGAAACAACCAGAAUAAUCCCAAAUGACUUAAUUUGUGUCUUGGCAUAGCAUCUGUACCUGUACAGUUAGAGAUGGUACACGAGUUGCCUGUUGCUUUCCAGACGCAGCUUCUGCUUUUAGCACCUAUUACAAUACAGAAUUUAAGCAUGGGAACUGAUCAGAAUUUGGGCUGAAAUCUUUUAAGGUUUGUAAGCAGCAGAGGCAGGUACUUGGAACCUGGAAGUUUGAAGCUUUCUUGUAACCAGUGUAGGUUGGAGACUGCAUGUCAAGCAAUGGAAACUGGAGGGAGACAGGGCAGGACAGACUGAACGAGAGUGGUGGUUCAGGAAGACCUAUGGAAGUACGUAGUGAAAGCUCAGUUUGCACAGCCUCACAGUUAAAAAGUCAGGUGUUACAAAAAUGGUAGUAUUAAAGCAGUGUGCAGUUGUGGUUUUCAUCAGUUGUCCUGGAUAUGUAAAAUAACCAAGCCAGAAAAACAGUCAGUAAAGUGUAACAGAUAUGUCCUUAUUUGUUUCCUUGUUUUGCUGAUACCCCUGAUGCUCCCACAGAUAAAUUCCGUAUAUGGAAGUAUAACAAAUAAAUGGACAUUUAUUUUAACAUUACCCUUUUAAAACUAGAAACAGCCAACAGACUUCGAAUUAAAACCGUGGGCACCUGUCUUAAUUAAUCAGGUAGUGUUAGGGGUUAAUGUGCUAUUAUAUUCAUUGCUAGAUACAUCAGCAUUUAUGUUUUUAUCAUACAGAAGAUCAGUUAAAAUGUGAGCUCUCUUCUGCUAAGUGCUGUCCUAACACAACUUUUACUCAUAUCCGGAAGACUUGCUUCCUUUCUUUGUCACCUUUAAAAGACAGUGCUGUGAUACACUUUUCAGCUUUUGCAGGUGUCCACUGACUGUUCCAAUGAUGUUUCAAAAUAUGCUCCAAAUUUUUUGAGAUGAGGACUUUUUGUUCUUGCACACCAAGAUUUUAGUCUGAGCGAAUGAGGCCCACACAUAAAAUAUCAAGCCAAUAGAUGUCCUAAAGGAAUAAUCUGAUCUUGGAAGCAGGUUUUUUCAAUAUUCAGAGAAUGUCAUUUGGGAGUACUUUGCCGCACCUUAUGCAACAAACAAAAUUAAGCCAAUAGUAAAGGGACAAGAUGUUGAUAGGGAGGGGACACGAGAUGUCUUUUUUUUUGUGAAAUUCAUUUAAAAUCUUUUUCAAAUACAGAAAGAAGAAACCAAAGCUGAUAGUCAGGAAAACAAAACCAUUUGAACAGGAUCGAGUGGCACAGGACUAGUCUCACCAAUGUACAUUUGCAGAGCAACCAUUGCUCUGUUCUUUGAGAUGCAGCAGAUUGGAAGUCUGGAUCAAAACAAACGAUUAAACAUUUUGGUUACUUGAUGUCUAAGAAACAUACAAAAUAUGACCAGUGGUUGCUUCUGAUAAGCUGGUGCUUCCAGAACUGUUUAUCUGCUCAUCUACGGGUGCUGGGAAUAAAAGGCUGCGAAAUACUCUUUCACUGACAUUUCACUCCACACAUGAAUUUGUAACUUUGGUGUGGAUAACUGAUUUUUAUGUUUACUACAGAGUCAAUAAUGUUGAUCAAAUUUCUUUGGUCAUAUUUGAGUAUUAAAGACUAAACUACUUUUCCACCACCAGUAUUUCCUUUUCCUCUUUGCAAGCUGGAUAGAGAUGUGCACUAGUGCACAAUUAUGUCUCAACUUCUACAAGCAUAACAAACCACUGAACUUAAUGAAUGUAAACAAGUAAUCUAGACCAGUGUGUUCUGGCAUUCCCCAAGUCUUCCUUAGCCAUUAAAAUAUAGUAAGGGCAGACAGAAAGGGCCUCAGCAGGUAAUAAGAGAGUUGUAUCAAAAAUCCACCUUAUCAGUUAGCAAGAAACUGUUGAAUUUGUUUUCAACACAGGUUUACUAUGAUGUCCAUUUACUUUAAGUUGGAUUUUUUUUUUUAAGAGCUGGAUUGUUGAGCUUUCCUAAACAAAUUUAUCUUAAUAUUUCAGAGCUUUGAGUGGAAGAUGAAAGGAGCAGAAUUUGUUCCAUCUGUAUGACCUGGUAUGUCUCGUGCUUUUCUAGGUCUGUGUCUAAUUCAGAUGAAUGUAGAAUUUUGAGCUAUACUGCAAAUUAUUCUCUCAUCUGUUCAAUCACUUUUAGCAGCAGCUACCAUUCCUACAGAUGUAGCCUAUGUUACUUCCUUUUGUCUCUAUGCAUUUAGGAAGCACUGUUAAAAACAGAGUGGAUCUCUCUAGAAAAUGAAAUGGCUUUGAUGUUCUCAUCUCUCCAGUUUACCUGGAAUAACCAGAAUGCCAAAAUACUCAGCACAGCCACUGACUUUCCCACAGAUCUGCCCUCCAGGAUCAGUUCUGAGCAACAUUUUUAGAUUUCUAUCAGAUUUUAUAUUUGAAAUCAUUUUUUUCUGAUUUUUUUUUUUUUUUUUAAUCAGUUCUUAUUUAACAGAUGCUGUCAAGCGCUUCAGAAAGUUUGAAAAGUUGAGAUUAGGAGAAUUGACAGAGAUUCUCUUUACAACACAGAUGAUUGCAGUUAUGGAGAGACUUAGGCCUGGUCUGUGCAGUUUAUGUCCAAUACAAACAUUCCCAGGUGGCUGCAAUCAAGCAUCUAACCAGCUGAUGUCAUUCUGACCAUGCACAUGUAGUUGCUUGGGAUAUCACUCCAACAGUAUAUUCAUGUUUGCACAAAGGGAUAAACUCAUGCUUGCUAUGGCAUCCAUGUUGAUGGGGGAUUAACCAUUCAGUAAAACAAAUGUUGUAAUGGUACAGAAUGCUCUCUGCAAAUGGCACCUGACUGCUCUUCCACAGAGAAGACCCAGAGGGAAGAGAAAAAAGGAGAAUUGGUGCAGCCUCCUAACUGCACAACUUUCCCCCUUUCUGCCAGGUCCCAUUCGCUGCAGACUGCAACAUCUCUUCACCAGCACUGUCCCACCACACAGGACAAGUGGGCAGUGGGAGGCAAGGCUCCUCUCUGCAGGGCAGCCCUGUGCAAAGGCAAACUUUGCCUUCCAGGAUUUGAAUUGACUUUAGAGACUGCUGCCACUUGUUUUGCCACAAUUAAUGGGAGAAAUUUUAACUCUCCCAUAAAACAUCCAGAAUUGCCUUUUUAAAUAGUAUCUACUCAAUGCUAGAGAGAGAAAGAUGGGCUCCAUUUUAAGACUUUCCCAAUGCUUUAAGUUCACACACAAGAAUUGUCACGCAGUAUAUCAGGUGCUCAGAGUUUUCUAGCAGCAGAAUGUUAUCUGCUAAGGCUGUCCUACAUGCCUUUCUUCCACAAAAAACGACGACGGAAAAAAGCAGUAAAACAGAGAAAAAAAGGAAAUGUAGAACAAAACAAAACAAAGGAAUGAAAGACUGAUGAUCAGAAAGUGCAUGUGAACAGGACAGCAAAAGCGUGGUAAAGACAAAGGGGAAAAUGCCGUUUUUCCUCUCUGAAAUACAUUACAAACUUAUGGGACUCGUUCAAAAAGAGAACAAGAGCGACUGCAUGCUCAAAGGCUGGAUUUAAAAUUAGUAAUGGAAUCACUUAGAAUUUAGAACUCUAGAUUCAGCUGGAGAAGGCACCAAGGCACCACUUCCACAGCUCCUAACAGAGGUUAACAUCUAAAACAUAUACUUACAUAGCUGAGUCUCACAUGGCCAGACCAUGUUAGAAAGUUGUCUAUAGAAGCACUGCCACAUUAGAAAACUUACCAGUAAAACUGUGCCGACAAGCAUAAACUAGAACUUAAUCAUUGCACAGGAAAGGCAGAACUAAGAGUUGGAAACAAUGCUGUACACAGCAGCCAAACUGCGUGGCAUACACCACCUCACUGACAUAUAUGGCAUCUGUUUGCCUUUUUCUCUCGUGUGCUUUUGCCAGGGAUAUUUUCCUAAGAGGAGGGUUGAAGAAAACAAAGAUCUGAAGUCUGCUUGUUUUGUGGGGCUUUUGGCUUAAGCAGUUAUGAAUUAGACAUGAAGAUUUCACUGCUGCCUUAAUAUGAUUUGAAAACUGUAUACUUCCAUUUUCAUUCAUUCACACUUGCAAGAAGAAAAAUCGUCAACAUUCUAAAUUCAAGCUUAAGCCACGGACAUUGGUUUUCCACAAAACAUGCACAGCUGCACCAGUUAAUUCAAAGUAACUCAGCACUGUGAACUUCAGUAUACAGGAGGAGCAUAGAUGCUCCAAGUGUGUCUUAGGGACAGGCAAAGUAAAGGUGCAAGGCGCAGCAGCAGGGAGGCGCCCAUGGGGAGCGGCCUCUGCUCCCACUGCUGUUUGCCUCUGCAAUUCCUUCUGCACCAGCAGCGAGUGCAGAUGAGGUGCUCCUCCAACACUCCGUGAGCCUGCUUUGAGAAUGUAUGUUACGUUCUAAUUGGAGAAAGGUAGAAGCAGUUUUGCCAGUGCUUUUCAAGCAACACAGUACCUACAAGAGAGAAAUUUAAAAAACUCACUGAUUUACCAUGUUAAAAAAAGAUGGCACAUUUAUUGCUACAUAAAUGUUAUAUACAUAGUGUUUUCUGUUACAUUGACAGAAAGUUUUUGAACUUCUUGCUGCUGGUUGGAAAGGUUUAUCAGCAAUACCUUGAAAUUUGACACAGGGUACAAAUCUGCAAUAAACCAACAAUGGAAACUGGAGAACAAGAUGAGAAGCAAUUCAUCUCGGACAAUUAGCUCUUACAAUACUCCAUAGGUACUACACGGUAUGCUAGAACCCUACUAUGGUCUUACAAUGCUAUUGUAAAUUUCUGAUAUUAAUGAACAGGUUAUGGUAAAUAACCCUACAUUUUUACUACCUAAUAUAGUAAAAUAAAGUAAGAAACUUUUUACUGAAAACUUUUUCGAUUUCAAAAAUCUAGAAAGAGUAAUAUUUAGAAUUCAAGAAAUUUUCUUACAAGAUUAUUGUAUAAAAGACUAGCUACAGUGAAAAAUAAGCCAAAUGUUUUUUUCUUUCUAUUUUAUGAAGGAAAGCUUCUGGGCAUACUGCAAAGUCUAAUAUAGCCAAAAAGACAACAAGCUUAGAAGGAAAAAGGCCAGGCAGUGGUACGUGAUCACUUUCACACGUCAUAAGCAACAAAUUUGUUUAGCCAAUAAACACUGAAAUGAAGAACAAGGCCACAGAUAUAAUCAGGUGUUAUCUGAUGGUAUAUGCAAAUUAAAGUAACAGAAAUGAGUCCACUAUUUUCACAAACUGUUCUGUUAGGAACCAUUGAAAACGUGAGCUUAAAUUCAUUAGUUUAUUUUAACAAUCCAGCUUUUGUUCUUUCAAAUUAAAUGACUCCAUAAAAAGUAUUGUUUUGUUCCUGUUUUGUAUGGUGAACCAAUUACCAGUAAUGAAAGAUGCACUAUAUAAACAAUAGCUCAGACAACCUUGGC